rnacentral:rRNA from 1 species
UACGGAGGGUGCAAGCGUUAUCCGGAUUUACUGGGUUUAAAGGGUGCGUAGGUGGGUAGGUAAGUCAGUGGUGAAAUCUUCGAGCUUAACUCGGAAACUGCCAUUGAUACUAUUUAUCUUGAAUACUCUGGAGGUAAGCGGAAUAUGUCAUGUAGCGGUGAAAUGCUUAGAUAUGACAUAGAACACCAAUUGCGAAGGCAGCUUACUACAUAGUUAUUGACACUGAGGCACGAAGCGUGGGGAUCAAACAGG